rnacentral:rRNA from 1 species
GACAGAGGGUGCAAACGUUGUUCGGAAUUACUGGGCGUAAAGCGCGUGUAGGCAGCUCGGCAAGUCGGGUGUGAAAGCCCUGGGCUCAACCUAGGAAGUGCACUCGAAACUUCCGAGCUGGAGUACUGGAGAGGAAGGCGGAAUUCUCGGUGUAGAGGUGAAAUUCGUAGAUAUCGAGAGGAACACCGGUGGCGAAGGCGGCCUUCUGGACAGUCACUGACGCUGAGACGCGAAAGCGUGGGGAGCAAACAGG